GAUGAACGCUGGCGGCGUGCCUAAUACAUGCAAGUCGAGCGAACAGACGAGGAGCUUGCUCCUCUAACGUUAGCGGCGGACGGGUGAGUAACACGUGGAUAACCUACCUAUAAGACUGGGAUAACUUCGGGAAACCGGAGCUAAUACCGGAUAAUAUAUUGAACCGCAUGGUUCAAUAGUGAAAGACGGUUUUGCUGUCACUUAUAGAUGGAUCCGCGCCGCAUUAGCUAGUUGGUAAGGUAACGGCUUACCAAGGCAACGAUGCGUAGCCGACCUGAGAGGGGGAUCGGCCACACUGGAACUGAGACACGGUCCAGACUCCUACGGGAGGCAGCAGUAGGGAAUCUUCCGCAAUGGGCGAAAGCCUGACGGAGCAACGCCGCGUGAGUGAUGAAGGUCUUCGGAUCGUAAAACUCUGUUAUUAGGGAAGAACAAAUGUGUAAGUAACUAUGCACGUCUUGACGGUACCUAAUCAGAAAGCCACGGCUAACUACGUG
rnacentral:rRNA from 1 species